rnacentral:rRNA from 1 species
GAUGAACGCUGGCGGCGUGCCUAAUACAUGCAAGUCGAGCGAACGGACGAGAAGCUUGCUUCUCUGAUGUUAGCGGCGGACGGGUGAGUAACACGUGGAUAACCUACCUAUAAGACUGGGAUAACUUCGGGAAACCGUAGCUAAUACCGGAUAAUAUUUUGAACCGCAUGGUUCAAAAGUGAAAGACGGUCUUGCUGUCACUUAUAGAUGGAUCCGCGCUGCAUUAGCUAGUUGGUAAGGUAACGGCUUACCAAGGCAACGAUGCAUAGCCGACCUGAGAGGGUGAUCGGCCACACUGGAACUGAGACACGGUCCAGACUCCUACGGGAGGCAGCAGUAGUGAAUCUUCCGCAAUGGGCGAAAGCCUGACGGAGCAACGCCGCGUGAGUGAUGAAGGUCUUCGGAUCGUAAAACUCUGUUAUUAGGGAAGAACAUAUGUGUAAGUAACUGUGCACAUCUUGACGGUACCUAAUCAGAAAGCCACGGCUAACUACGUG